GACGAACCGUACGAACGUUAUUCGGAAUCACUGGGCUUAAAGGGUGCGUAGGCGGCGCAGUAAGUUGGGUGUGAAAUCCCUCGGCUUAACCGAGGAAUUGCGCCCAAAACUACUGUGCUCGAGGGAGGUAGAGGUGAGCGGAACUUAGGGUGGAGCGGUGAAAUGCGCAGAUAUCAGGAGGAACACCGGUGGCGAAGGCGGGUCUCUGGGUAGUAACUGACGCUGAGGAACGAAAGCGUGGGUAGCGAACAGG
rnacentral:rRNA from 1 species